GCCGGGGUGGCGAAACUGGCAGACGCGAGGGACUUAAAAUCCCUUGGGGGCAACCCCAUCCGGGUUCGAGACCCGGCCCCGGCA
rnacentral:tRNA from 1 species